ensembl:snRNA U4 U4 spliceosomal RNA
AGCUUUGUGCAGUGGCAGUAUCGUAGCCAAUGAGGUUUAUCCGAGGCGCGAUUAUUGCUAAUUGAAAAUGAUUAUAAAACAGCAAAGCCCUUCAAUCAGGCCCCUUUCUGAGGUUAUCUAAUUCUACUCACAAUAGG